UGGACUACUGAAUAAGACAUUGGAGAG
rnacentral:piRNA from 1 species